rnacentral:rRNA from 1 species
AAUAUUUCACAAUGGAGGAAACGCUGAUGCAGCGACGCCGCGUGAGUGAAGAAGGACUUCGGAUCGUACCACUCUGUCCUUGGUGAAGAUAAUGACGGUAGCCAAGGAGGCAGCCCCGGCUAACUACGUGCCAGCAGCCGCGGUAAUAGGUAGGGGGCUAGCGUUGUCCGGAUUUACUGGGCGUAAAGGGUGAGUAGGCGGUUAUGUAUGUCAGAUGUAAAAGGCGUGGGCUUAACUUACGUUAGCAUUUGAAACUGCAUAACUUGAGUGCGGGAGAGGUAAGUGGAAUUCCUAGUGUAGCGGUGAAAUGCGUAGAUAUUAGGAGGAACACCAGUGGCGAAGGCGACUUACUGGACCGUAACUGACGCUGAGUCACGAAAGCGUGGGUAGCAAACAGG